ACUAACGCUGGCGGCAUGCCUAACACCUGCAAGUCGAACGAGACCUUCGGGUCUAGUGUCGCACGGGUGCGUAACGCGUGGGAACCUGCCCUUAGGUUCGGAAUAACUCCCCGAAAGGGGUGCUAAUACCGGAUAAUGUCUUCGGACCAAAGAUUUAUCGCCUUUGGAUGGGCCCGCGUUGGAUUAGCUAGUUGGUAGGGUAAAAGCCUACCAAGGCGACGAUCAAUAGCUGGUCUGAGAGGAUGAUCAGCCACACUGGGACUGAGACACGGCCCAGACUCCUACGGGAGGCAGCAGUGGGGAAUAUUGGACAAUGGGCGAAAGCCUGAUCCAGCAAUGCCGCGUGAGUGAUGAAGGCCUUAGGGUUGUAAAGCUCUUUUACCCGGGAUGAUAAUGACAGUACCGGGAGAAUAAGCUCCGGCUAACUCCGUG
rnacentral:rRNA from 1 species